rnacentral:rRNA from 1 species
GACGAACGCUGGCGGCGUGCCUAAUACAUGCAAGUCGAACGCUUUUUCUUUCACCGGAGCUUGCUCCACCGAAAGAAAAAGAGUGGCGAACGGGUGAGUAACACGUGGGUAACCUGCCCAUCAGAAGGGGAUAACACUUGGAAACAGGUGCUAAUACCGUAUAACACUAUUUUCCGCAUGGAAGAAAGUUGAAAGGCGCUUUUGCGUCACUGAUGGAUGGACCCGCGGUGCAAUAGCUAGUUGGUGAGGUAACGGCUCACCAAGGCAACGAUGCAUAGCCGACCUGAGAGGGUGAUCGGCCACACUGGGACUAAGACACGGCCCAGACUCCUACGGGAGGCAGCAGUAGGGAAUCUUCGGCAAUGGACGAAAGUCUGACCGAGCAGCGCCGCGUGAGUGAAGAAGGUUUUCGGAUCGUAAAACUCUGUUGUUAGAGAAGAACAAGGAUGAGAGUAGAACGUUCAUCCCUUGACGGUAUCUAACCAGAAAGCCACGGCUAACUACGUGCCAGCCGCCGCCGUAA